UUUUAGGUGGCCGAGAACUAAGCAUUAGACUUUUAAUCUAACUACGAUAAUUUUUAUCCCUGGCACC
rnacentral:tRNA from 1 species